AAAUGACCAGGCUGUGACAUGUCACCCCAUUGAUCAGCAGGGUUGAUUCGGCUGAUCUGGCUAGCUAGGCAUGGGUGUCUCUCUCCCGAAGCUGUCCGGGUUUAACCAGUUUUUCUGUCAAGGGGUAUACAAGUAAUUGCUUGCCUGCUAGAGCCUCCAAACAAAGCUCUCAAGAUCCAUUUGUAGGAGAACUGGAUAUCAAGCUUCCAAGACUCCAGACACAUCCAAAUGAGGCAAUCAAUGCCUUUCUUU
ensembl:misc_RNA 7SK 7SK RNA